rnacentral:rRNA from 1 species
CCCAGACUCCUACGGGAGGCAGCAGUGGGGGAUAUUGCACAAUGGGGGGAACCCUGAUGCAGCGACGCCGCGUGGGUGAAGAAGCGCCUCGGCGCGUAAAGCCCUGUCAGCAGGGAAGAAAAUGACGGUACCUGAAGAAGAAGCCCCGGCUAACUACGUGCCAGCAGCCGCGGUAAUACGUAGGGGGCAAGCGUUAUCCGGAUUUACUGGAUGUAAAGGGGGCGCAGACGGCGAUGCAAGCCAGGAGUGAAAGCCCGGGGCCCAACCCCGGGACUGCUCUUGGAACUGCGUGGCUGGAGUGCAGGAGGGGCAGGCGGAAUUCCUGGUGUAGCGGUGAAAUGCGUAGAUAUCAGGAGGAACACCGGUGGCGAAGGCGGCCUGCUGGACUGCAACUGACGUUGAGGCCCGAAAGCGUGGGGAGCAAACAGGAUUAGAUACCCUUGUA